rnacentral:rRNA from 1 species
UACGUAGGGGGCAAGCGUUGUCCGGAAUCAUUGGGCGUAAAGAGCGUGUAGGCGGCCAGAUAAGUCCGCUGUGAAAUCUCGAGGCUCAACUUCGAGCUGUCGGUGGAAACUGUCUGGCUAGAGUCCGGAAGAGGAGAAUGGAAUUCCUGGUGUAGCGGUGAAAUGCGCAGAUAUCCGGAGGAACACCAGUGGCGAAAGCGGCUUCCUGGUCCAGCACCGACGUUCAGGCACGAAAGCGUGGGGAGCAAACAGG